GGAGACGACUGCAUUUGACCCACCAGUGGCUGUAUUUCCACAGCCAGCAAUUUUCCCAGGUAGUACGGCUGAGCGGCAGGGGAGUUCUUGGAACCUGGUAGAUCCAAAGCCAAAUUCCAGUUCAACCACAGUAGAGACCUGUGAUUUUGCUCGUCUUGUUGUUUGGGGGAAUGCUAAGAAAAUAAAUAGAGGAACACAAGCCAUGGACCUGACAUCACACCAGAGAAGAAAGUCUAUACGUGGGUGUGGUGGCCUGUAUAUAGAUCUCAAAAUGACGGUGAAGACAUUCCUUGUUAAUGGAUAUAUGUAAUUUAAUGUUGACCUCUCUAAUCUUCUGCAGGAACCCUCA
rnacentral:lncRNA from 1 species